UUGCAUACACUAGCGAAACUGAGCUAAAGGAAUCCAAUAAAAAUAGGUCCGAAUGAUAUAACAACGCAAGGUUUUAGGCAGGAUUCUACUUAGAACUAGUUUUUUUGGUUUAAUUUCGGUUAUGUUUAAAUUGAAAGUACAAUUCACAGUUAAGUAAAAAAAAUCAAUUUGAAAAACUUCUACAUGAAGUCUCUUAUACCCUGAAUUUACACUAUGUAUGUAAAUAAUACACCUGAAGAAUGUUAGUGCAUAACUGCUUGGCAAACUUUCUUUACGAAGUCUCCUAACCGCAAAUUCUAAAAUCGAAUAACUAAAUUAUAUAGCAGUAAACCUUUAAUUAAACAAUAAAUUAACGUUUUGAGUACUUAAUAUAUAUAAAUAAACACUUACAUGUCAAAUUAACAUUUUAAAAAAUAUAUAUAAGAAUCCAAAAUCUAAUCCUAUAUUUAAAAAUAUUAAAUGAAAUUGUAUUUUAAAUAUAUUUACAUCCAUAAAUAUUAUAUUUUAUUGGUAAUAAAUUUUUACUCAAGUAUAUAAAUAUAACAACAUUUUUUUCAUAAAUCAUAAGCUAAAUUAAAACAAAACCAGCACUAAAUUAUUACAUGAAACAAAGAGUGAAAAAAGUCAACCCAACAUUUGCCUUUGAUGUUGAUAGGAGUCUGCCAACAUUUGACAAACGAACAACACUAUGAUCGAUGUAUAUAAUCAGGAGGAUGUGAUGUGAGGGAAGGGUACACCGCAAACGCACUCAAUUAUUACACGAAACAAAGAGUGAUAAAAGUCAAACCAACAUUUUCGUCCCGCGGUUAUGCAAGUCUUCAAUUCCGGACACACGUUGGACGUUCUUAUACAUAAGUUAUGUCUCACCACUUUGCUUGUAGAUCAAUAACAUCUUUAGUUAAGAGUUUGCUUUUGUAUCCGUUUGGUUUUUGGAAAAAAAAAAGUUGCAUACACUAGCGAAACUGAGCUAAAGGAAUCCAAUAAAAAUAGGUCCGAAUGAUAUAACAACGCAAGGUUUUAGGCAGGAUUCUACUUAGAACUAGAGAUUAAACACAAAACUUCGUAACAUCACUCGAUCACAUAGUUGGGAGCAACGGCCAAGAUCCUCUCAUCUCUUCUUCUUGGUUCUUCACCUUCUGCUUCUUGCUCAUUGGAUAACACUAUAAGGUGGCCUUCUUUACAUACCAAACUCUGUAAUGCACAUGUAUAUAUGUUCUGGUGUUAAGUAGAAACAUAAAAUUUUACAACAAUCUUCAUUUGCAAAAUUUGUUUUGGAUUUACCUCAAUAAUGGCUCUGAGUUUCUUGAUAUCGAGUUUGACUUGCUCUUGCGAAGUGUACUUCUUUUUCUCGUUCUGCUGAUCGAUGUACCAUCGAAUCAGCUCCUUUUGUCUCAUUCCAGGCAAUUCAGAACCUAAAAGAAGAAAAAGAGUUCAUUUGUUUUAAACGUUGAGGAGAGCAAGAAAUGGUUGCGAGGACUGAUGAGUGAUGUAACUUACAGUCUUUUCAAUUAUAUGCUAAAGGAUAAAUCAAUUAGUUAUGUGGCGGAUGUUCAAUAAUUCUUUUUAUGUUUAAUAGAUUUUUGAUAGACAACAAAGUUCAAAUUAUUUCACAUAAGUAUUAGGCUGCCCAAAAGAUCAAAUUAUUUCACGGAAGAGUUAACCCAUUGAGGUCAUAAGAGUCUUAUCUUUUCAUUUUUUUUCUGUGGUCUACUAGCUAAAAUUCAUGUAUUGCCUAAUAUGAUGAUAUAUUUUCAUAAAUUAUAGGUAUUUUUUGAACAUUUAAUUACAUGUGUUACCUAAUACAGAUUCUGAAGAUGAUCUGUUUUUUUUAUAAAUUUCAUGGCUUAGACUUUUCUUAAAAAAUAGUUUGUUUCCUCCACCAUGCGCAUAAAUAGAUGUUUCAAAAUUAUUAUAUCUAUAAUUAUAUAUAGGUUUCAUUUUAUCAAUUUAAAAAUAAAUUCAUAAAUAAUUAUUCAUAAUUAUAAUUAUUUAUUAUUUAUUUUCCAUUUGAUUUAAAGAUAUUUAAUUUGAUUUUUGGUUAGUUAUAUUAAGUGAAGUUAAAUUAAAAUAAAAAAACUUAUUUAUAUAUAUAUAUAUAUAAACUAUAGUUCCGAAUAUAUAAUUUUAAAAUUUAUUACAUCAAUAAACUGUAACAUUUUAUUUAUGGCAAUAAAUCAAUAAUCCUCAAACAAUAAUUAUUGUAUAGCAUUUAAAUCCAAAUAAGUUCAAUAGAUUUAAAAUUUUAUUAAUCAUCUAUAUACCUUUGGAUCCAAGUAUGACUUAAAUAUUUAACCUUUCAUAAAAAAAUUAUCAAAUUGUCAUAGUUUAUUUGUUAAUAUAUUUUAUAAUGAAUUUGGAUAAAAAUAUAAAUAAUUACACAAAAUUACUUACUUUUAUCAUAAAUUCAUCUAAUAAAACUUUCUAGGUACAGUUAUAUUAUUUUUAAAAAUGUAUUAAUAAUUCUAAACAUAAUUUACGUUUAUGGUAUGUAGCCAGAUUAUAGAAUUAUCUUAGUUUAAGAAUUUUAUCAAAAGUCAAAGUCUUUAUGGUUAAAUCAUGUCAUAAUAAAUAAAAAGAAAUAUGUCAUCAUUUUGAUUAAAUUAUAUAACCAUUUGUCUUUCAAAUGAAUAUGGUGAUGAUGUAUAUAAACAAAUUUUUUUUUAAGAAAAUCACAUUUCAAAUAGUUGAUUAAGGGAUAUACCGUCUUACGAAUCCACAACCUCCCAAACAUUAAAAGAAAGUUGGUCCGACAUGCCCCGUAUAAUUUAUGUGAAUGUCGUUUUCUAAUAUAGUUUUAAAAACAUUUGUUUGUUUAUAAUAUGGAAAUAUCUAGUUUACUUUUGUGCAACUUGUAGCGUAUGUACGAUAAAGAAUUAAACAAUAACUUUUGUGGCGGCUGUUUAGUAAUGACUAAUUUCGAUUAUUAGAUAAAUUAUAAUCUAUUUUUUUCAAAAACAUAAAAAAAAAUGCUUCAAAUGAGAGAAAAAACUUCAAAAAUCUAAAAUUUUAGACUGGUAUAGUAAGAAACAAUCUUACCAAGUUAUUCUUUAAACCUGACAUAAAUACAAAAAUACACAUCCAGUGGCCAGUGGCGGACCCAUGAUUGAAUUUUACAUGGGUCAAACUAUGUUAACUAUAAAGAAAAAAAUAAAUAAAAAGUGUCACCACUACGUUUCGUUCCAUGGUCUGGGGUGUCACAUGUGAAACUUUACCAACAGAGCUGCUGGAUACUAAUAGCUUUAGUAAACAAAAUAAAUGAUAUAGAGAUUUAAGCUCCAAUGGCUUACAUGGGUCUGCCUUUGUACACAUCUAAAAUCUUUAUAUCUAUCUUUUUAAGACAGGAAAAUAAAAAUAAUGGAAUGAAAAACCUGCAAAAAUAAGAUAAAAUUGUGAACAUGAGACAAUGAGAUAAGUAAUUGAUAUAUUGCUUUGUGUCUUCAAAUUAAAUAAAUUACAUAUAGGUUAGAGAGUUUUAAAAAGAAAAACAUUAGAUUUUUGUUACGACCAUUUAAAAAGAUAGACUGUGUAGUUUUUUUCUAUAUAAAUGAUAAAAAUCUCAAUUAGAUUUAAAUAAUUGGUGUAGGGGACAUCAUGGAAAAUUUACUCAAUCGAGUAUACUUCACAUAAAGUCUUUUAAACCAUAACUUAUAAUUAAACUCUUAUUUCAUGAAUUUUUUUUGGUUUAAUUUCGGUUAUGUUUAAAUUGAAAGUACAAUUCACAGUUAAGUAAAAAAAAUCAAUUUGAAAAACUUCUACAUGAAGUCUCUUAUACCCUGAAUUUACACUAUGUAUGUAAAUAAUACACCUGAAGAAUGUUAGUGCAUAACUGCUUGGCAAACUUUCUUUACGAAGUCUCCUAACCGCAAAUUCUAAAAUCGAAUAACUAAAUUAUAUAGCAGUAAACCUUUAAUUAAACAAUAAAUUAACGUUUUGAGUACUUAAUAUAUAUAAAUAAACACUUACAUGUCAAAUUAACAUUUUAAAAAAUAUAUAUAAGAAUCCAAAAUCUAAUCCUAUAUUUAAAAAUAUUAAAUGAAAUUGUAUUUUAAAUAUAUUUACAUCCAUAAAUAUUAUAUUUUAUUGGUAAUAAAUUUUUACUCAAGUAUAUAAAUAUAACAACAUUUUUUUCAUAAAUCAUAAGCUAAAUUAAAACAAAACCAGCACUAAAUUAUUACAUGAAACAAAGAGUGAAAAAAGUCAACCCAACAUUUGCCUUUGAUGUUGAUAGGAGUCUGCCAACAUUUGACAAACGAACAACACUAUGAUCGAUGUAUAUAAUCAGGAGGAUGUGAUGUGAGGGAAGGGUACACCGCAAACGCACUCAAUUAUUACACGAAACAAAGAGUGAUAAAAGUCAAACCAACAUUUUCGUCCCGCGGUUAUGCAAGUCUUCAAUUCCGGACACACGUUGGACGUUCUUAUACAUAAGUUAUGUCUCACCACUUUGCUUGUAGAUCAAUAACAUCUUUAGUUAAGAGUUUGCUUUUGUAUCCGUUUGGUUUUUGGAAAAAAAAAAGUUGCAUACACUAGCGAAACUGAGCUAAAGGAAUCCAAUAAAAAUAGGUCCGAAUGAUAUAACAACGCAAGGUUUUAGGCAGGAUUCUACUUAGAACUAGAGAUUAAACACAAAACUUCGUAACAUCACUCGAUCACAUAGUUGGGAGCAACGGCCAAGAUCCUCUCAUCUCUUCUUCUUGGUUCUUCACCUUCUGCUUCUUGCUCAUUGGAUAACACUAUAAGGUGGCCUUCUUUACAUACCAAAC
rnacentral:lncRNA from 1 species